rnacentral:misc_RNA from 1 species
UCCGAGUUGACCCCGGCAGUCUCCUAUGAGUCCCCGGCAUUAUCCGCUGGCAACAUAGGACGAGGGUUGCGCUCGUUGCGGGACUUAACCCAACAUCUCACGACACGAGCUGACGACAGCCAUGCACCACCUGUAUACCGACCUUGCGGGGGCUGCAUCUCUGCAGCUUUCCGGCAUAUGUCAAACCCAGGUAAGGUUCUUCGCGUCGCAUCGAAUUAAUCCGCAUGCUCCUCCGCUUGUGCGGGCCCCCGUCAAUUCCUUUGAGUUUCACCGUUGCCGGCGUACUCCCCAGGUGGAGAGGAAGGUGGGGAUGACGUAUCUUACAGCGUAC